UACAGAGGUCUCAAGCGUUGUUCGGAUUUACUGGGCGUAAAGGGCGCGUAGGCGGCGUGUCAAGUCGAUUGUGAAAUCUCCGGGCUUAACUCGGAACGGCCAAUCGAUACUGACGUGCUAGAGUGCAGAAAGGGCAAUCGGAAUUCUUGGUGUAGCGGUGAAAUGCGUAGAUAUCAAGAGGAACACCUGAGGCGAAGGCGGGUUGCUAGGCUGACACUGACGCUGAGUGCGCGAAAGCCAGGGGAGCAAACGGG
rnacentral:rRNA from 1 species